UUUCUGCCGAGGACGACCGGUCCGCCCUCUGGGUGAGUAUCUGGCUCGGCCUGGGCAUCUUCUUGGAGAACGUAGCUGCACUUGACUGUGUGGUGCGGUAUCCAGGACUUUUACUUUGAGGAAAUUAGAGUGUUUCAAGCAGGCUUACGCCUUGAAUACAUUAGCAUGGAAUAAUAAGAUAGGACCUCGGUUCUAUUUUGUUGGUUUCUAGAGCUGAGGUAAUGAUUAAUAGGGAUAGUUGGGGGCAUUCGUAUUUAACU
rnacentral:rRNA from 1 species